rnacentral:rRNA from 1 species
AAAGAUUAAGCCAUGCAUGUCUAAGCACAUGCCUUAAUACGGUGAAGCCGCGAAUAGCUCAUUACAACAGCCACCGUUUACUAGAAUAUAGUUAUCCUACUUGGAUAACUGUGGCAAUUCUAGAGCUAAUACAUGCAAAAAAGCUCUGCCCGCAAGGAACGAGCGCAUUUAUUAGAAUAAAAACCAAUCGGGUUUCGGCCCGUAAUUUGGUGAAUCUGAAUAACUUUGCCAAUCGCACAGUCCUAGUACUGGCGAUGUAUCUUUCAAGUGUCUGCCUUAUCAACUUUCGAUGGUAGGUUAUACGCCUACCAUGGUAGUAACGGGUAACGGAGAAAAAGGGUUCGACUCCGGAGAGGGAGCCUGAGAAACGGCUACCACAUCCAAGGAAGGCAGCAGGCGCGCAAAUUACCCACUUCCAGAACGGAGAGGUAGUGACGAAAAAUAACGAGACAGUCCUCUUCGAGGUCUGUCAUCGGAAUGGGUACAAUUUAAAUCCUUUAACGAGGAUCUAUUGGAGGGCAAGUCUGGUGCCAGCAGCCGCGGUAAUUCCAGCUCCAAUAGCGUAUAUUAAAGUUGUUGCGGUUAAAACGCUCGUAGUUGGAUCUGCGGCCUCGGAGAACGGUCCCCCGAAAGGGUGGUCACUGUCUCUCCUAGCCUAAAUUCGAGUCGUCUCUAGGUGCUCUUUACCGGGUGCUUAGAGUGACUAGAACGUUUACUUUGAAAAAAUUAGAGUGCUUAAAGCAGGCGAAAUAGCCUGAAUAAGGUGCAUGGAAUAAUGGAAUAGGACCUCGGUUCUAUUUUGUUGGUUUUCGGAACCCGAGGUAAUGAUUAAGAGGAACAGACGGGGGCAUUCGUAUUCCGGCGCUAGAGGUGAAAUUCUUGGACCGCCGGAAGACGGACGACUGCGAAAGCAUUUGCCAAGAAUG